UUCUGUUUGAUCCUGGCGGAGGCCACUGCUAUUGGGUUUCGAUUAAGCCAUGCAAGUCGUACGAUCCUUUCGGGGGUCGUGGCAUACGGCUCAGUAACACGUGGAUAACCUAACCUUAGGACUGGGAUAACCCUGGGAAACUGGGGAUAAUACCGGAUAUGUAGAGUUUCCUGGAAUGGUACUCUAUUGAAAUGUAUUCGUGCGCCUAAGGGUGGAUCUGCGGCAGAUUAGGUAGUUGGCGGGGUAAAUGCCCACCAAGCCAGUAAUCUGUACGGGUUGUGAGAGCAAGAGCCCGGAGAUGGAACCUGAGACAAGUUCCAGGCCCUACGGGGCGCAGCAGGCGCGAAACCUCCGCAAUGCACGCAAGUGCGACGGGGGAAACCCAAGUGCCACUCUUAAC
rnacentral:rRNA from 1 species